CCUUUGUUCAGUAAAGGAGUGCUAGUCACCGGGAUGCAUGUGGAAUAUUAUUUUUGAAGCCAUGUGGAGUUGAUCUCCACCAAACUCCGCUUAUGUAUAAUUUAUAAGCCAGCUGCUACAGAAAGGAUUUAAGAUGGUUUAUAGAAGCACAAUGAAGUUAUUAAAGAAGAAGUGAAGCAUUAAAAAAAUGUAGAAUGCAUUUAUGGGUGUGAAUAUGUCUGUGGGGGUGGGAGCUGGAGGAGGGCCAGGUAGCUGAGGCCAGGAAAAAGAGUCCCAAACCCACCAGCUGUUGGGAUAUUUAACUGUGAUUGUACGUUAAAGCUGCCUCGGAGUGUCCGACAGCUAAGAAAAAACAGUAGUAUGAUGGAUUAUAUACUUCAUAGUAUUGACUAAGAUAAUAUAUUCAGGAGACACCAUCUCUUUUCCUAGCAUUGGAAAUCUUAAGGUAUUUUACUGCAAGAGUUCUUACAAAAGGGACCCUCUCCUGCAUAAAAAGUGGUGUUUUUGGCUGGACGUGCUGGCUCGUGCUUGUAAUCCCAGCACUUUGGGAGGCUGAGCGGGGAGGAUUGCUUGAGCUCAGAAGUUUGAGACCAGCUUGGGCAACAUAUUGAGACCCUGUUUAUACUUAAAAAAGUUUUAUUUAGUGGCCAAGCGUGGUUGCUCAUGCCUGUAAUCCCAACACUUUGGGAGGCCGAGGCAGGCGGAUCGUGAGGUCAGGAGUUCGAGACCAGCCUGGCCAACAUAGUGAAACCCCAUCUCUACUAAAAAUACAAAAAUUAGCUGGGCAUGGUGGCAGGCACCUGUAGCCCCGGCUACUCGGGAGUCUGAGGCAGGAUAAUCGCUUGAACCCGG
rnacentral:lncRNA from 10 species